GGCAGAGAUGCCUUGGUGCCUUCGGGAACGCUGAGACAGGUGCUGCAUGGCUGUCGUCAGCUCGUGUUGUGAAAUGUUGGGUUAAGUCCCGCAACGAGCGCAACCCUUAUCCUUUGUUGCCAGCGAUUCGGUCGGGAACUCAAAGGAGACUGCCGGUGAUAAACCGGAGGAAGGUGGGGAUGACGUCAAGUCAUCAUGGCCCUUACGAGUAGGGCUACACACGUGCUACAAUGGCGCAUACAAAGAGAAGCGACCUCGCGAGAGCAAGCGGACCUCAUAAAGUGCGUCGUAGUCCGGAUCGGAGUCUGCAACUCGACUCCGUGAAGUCGGAAUCGCUAGUAAUCGUGGAUCAGAAUGCCACGGUGAAUACGUUCCCGGGCCUUGUACACACCGCCCGUCACACCAUGGGAGUGGGUUGCAAAAGAAGUAGGUAGCUUAACCUUCGGGAGGGCGCUUACCACUUUGUGAUUCAUGACUGGGGUGAAGUCGUAACAAGGUAGGCGUAGCGAG
rnacentral:rRNA from 1 species